rnacentral:rRNA from 1 species
UGCAAGUCGAGCGAACAGAUGAGAAGCUUGCUUCUCUGAUGUUAGCGGCGGACGGGUGAGUAACACGUGGGUAACCUACCUAUAAGACUGGGAUAACUCCGGGAAACCGGGGCUAAUACCGGAUAAUAUUUUGAACCGCAUGGUUCAAUAGUGAAAGACGGUUUCGGCUGUCACUUAUAGAUGGACCCGCGCCGUAUUAGCUAGUUGGUAAGGUAACGGCUUACCAAGGCGACGAUACGUAGCCGACCUGAGAGGGUGAUCGGCCACACUGGAACUGAGACACGGUCCAGACUCCUACGGGAGGCAGCAGUAGGGAAUCUUCCGCAAUGGGCGAAAGCCUGACGGAGCAACGCCGCGUGAGUGAUGAAGGUCUUCGGAUCGUAAAACUCUGUUGUUAGGGAAGAACAAAUUUGUUAGUAACUGAACAAGUCUUGACGGUACCUAACCAGAAAGCCACGGCUAACUACGUGCCAGCAGCCGCGGUAAUACGUAGGUGGCAAGCGUUAUCCGGAAUUAUUGGGCGUAAAGCGCGCGUAGGCGGUUUCUUAAGUCUGAUGUGAAAGCCCACGGCUCAACCGUGGAGGGUCAUUGGAAACUGGGAAACUUGAGUGCAGAAGAGGAGAGUGGAAUUCCAUGUGUAGCGGUGAAAUGCGCAGAGAUAUGGAGGAACACCAGUGGCGAAGGCGGCUCUCUGGUCUGUAACUGACGCUGAUGUGCGAAAGCGUGGGGAUCAAACAGGAUUAGAUACCCUGGUAGUCCACGCCGUAAACGAUGAGUGCUAAGUGUUAGGGGGUUUCCGCCCCUUAGUGCUGCAGCUAACGCAUUAAGCACUCCGCCUGGGGAGUACGACCGCAAGGUUGAAACUCAAAGGAAUUGACGGGGACCCGCACAAGCGGUUGAGCAUGUGGUUUAAUUCGAAGCACGCGAAGAACCUUACCAAUCUUGACAUCCUUUGACCGCUCUAGAGAUAGAGUCUUCCCCUUCGGGGGACAAAGUGACAGGUGGUGCAUGGUUGUCGUCAGCUCGUGUCGUGAGAUGUUGGGUUAAGUCCCGCAACGAGCGCAACCCUUAAGCUUAGUUGCCAUCAUUAAGUUGGGCACUCUAGGUUGACUGCCGGUGACAAACCGGAGGAAGGUGGGGAUGACGUCAAAUCAUCAUGCCCCUUAUGAUUUGGGCUACACACGUGCUACAAUGGAUAAUACAAAGGGCAGCGAAUCCGCGAGGCCAAGCAAAUCCCAUAAAAUUAUUCUCAGUUCGGAUUGUAGUCUGCAACUCGACUACAUGAAGCUGGAAUCGCUAGUAAUCGUAGAUCAGCAUGCUACGGUGAAUACGUUCCCGGGUCUUGUACACACCGCCCGUCACACCACGAGAGUUUGUAACACCCGAAGCCGGUGGAGUAACCUUUUAGGAGCUAGCCGUCGAAGGUGGGACAAAUGAU